rnacentral:rRNA from 1 species
AACGAACGCUGGCGGCAGGCUUAACACAUGCAAGUCGAACGCAUCCUUCGGGGUGAGUGGCAGACGGGUGAGUAACGCGUGGGAACGUGCCCUUCAGUUCGGGAUAACCCAGGGAAACUUGGGCUAAUACCGGAUACGUGCGAGAGCAGAAAGCGUUAUCGCUGAGGGAUCGGCCCGCGUCUGAGUAGCUGGUUGGUGGGGUAAUGGCCCACCAAGGCGACGAUCAGUAGCUGGUCUGAGAGGAUGAUCAGCCACAUUGGGACUGGGACACGGCCCAAACUGCGACGGGGGGCAGCAGUUGGGAAUAUUGGACAAUGGGCACAAGCCUGAUCCAGCCAUGCCGAGUGAGUGAUGAAGGCCUUAGGGUUGUAAAGCUCUUUCGUCCGGGACGAAAAUGACGGUACCGGAAGAAGAAGCCCCGGCUAACUUCGUGCCAGCCGCCGCAGUAA